AUAGCUAUCAAUGUGUGUUUACAAUAUAAUUUUUUAAUGUCAGUAAAAAAAAGAGUUGCUGGAAAGCAUAUAUAGGGACUAAUUUUAUUUAAUGUCGGUUCAUUUUCAUUCUUGCUGAUUUAUAUGUUUGACCUUUCUUGAUGCAUUUUAUCAAGUAUUCUAGGAUUACAAUGGCAUUACUAACUAAGCAGGUUGGAAUGAAGUCAUCAAUGCAUGCAGACAACAAGUAUGCUCUGUUCCUUGAUCAAUUGGAGAACUCACUCGUGAGAUAGAAAGGGAUCCUGAGGUAUGGUUUGAGAAAUGUGAUAAUUUGCUUUUGGAAUCCAGGGAUGAUCUAAAAAACGUGUAUUUUUAUGAUAAUUGGUUUCUAUCACCAGCUAAUUCAUGUUUUGUUUAUCUUUUUCUUAAUUCCAUUUUUUGAAUCGUAUAUAUUGUAGAGUUGAUAACUCAUACACUUCUUUAUUUGUAGGAGAUUCAGUGAUAGCAUAUUUGUUGUGACAAAUGUUUCUUUUUAUAUUAAUUGGUUGGUAUGCUCAUUUUGACUAGUCUUGACAUUUUGUUAUUGUUACUUUCUACUAUGGUUACAAGGCUUAAUUCCUUAAAUUUUGGUCUUAUUAUCUUUAGGUAUAUUGUUGGGUCUAUUAAACUUAUUAGGAUAGAGCGGGUAGAGCGUGAUUUUCUUGUAGUGGUUUUGGAGCCUUAGGAUUUUUAUCGUGUAGACCAAUAGAGGCUCUGUGUUUGCUAUCCGGGACUCCAUUGUUUCAUUCAUUUUGGGGAAAUUUUGGUGUUUGAUUUGGUGCUAAAAGCUUAUUCCUAUGUGGAAGGUGGGUGGUUACUUUUGUCUUUACUCUAUAAGGGUAUUUAUUUAUUUGAUUAUUUGAUAAUUGGCUAAUCAAAGUCUUGCUUAUCUUUAUGGUAAUGAAAAUACCUAAUUCAAGAAUCCAUUUUGUGACACAAAUGGUGUCAAUGAACUAAAGGGGAAGUGUUAGUCCUCUCCUCAUACAGUAGACAUAGCAUAUGAUCUUUAAAACAUGAUUCAAAAAGAGUAAUUACUAAGGUUUAAGUUAGCUAGAUUUGGAAAUUAGCUUCAAAUUGUUUUAGCCAAGGCAAAGUAAUAGCACUCCUUCCUUUGCAAAAGUUAUAACAACGUAACUAUAGUUUUAAGUUGGCAUAUAAACAACUGCAUAUUCCUAAUUUUGUUUAAUAGUUUACAAUAAUUUGGUUUCAUUGCUAGUAAUUAAUAGGAGGUUAUUAAUAUGAAGGUACUGAAUUUGUGGUUAUUAUGCAGAUUAUGCAAAUAUCAAUCUGAAUGAAACUAUUGGUUUAUUAAGGUUU
rnacentral:lncRNA from 1 species